rnacentral:rRNA from 1 species
UCCUACGGGAGGCAGCAGUGGGGAAUAUUGCACAAUGGGGGAAACCCUGAUGCAGCAACGCCGCGUGAGUGAAGAAGUCAUUCGUGAUGUAAAGCUCUAUCAGCAGGGAAGAAAAUGACGGUACCUGAGUAAGAAGCCCCGGCUAACUACGUGCCAGCAGCCGCGGUAAUACGUAGGGGGCAAGCGUUAUCCGGAUUUACUGGGUGUAAAGGGAGCGUAGACGGCCAGACAAGUCUGAAGUGAAAAUC